rnacentral:lncRNA from 1 species
UAUAAUGUAUGACAUAAGAGUCAUAUCUAAAAACCUAAAUCUUGUUGCCUCUUUCUUCUUUCUUUUUAUUCUUCAUAUUGUCCUCCCAAGAGUGUAUACCUGCAUUUCAUAGUUUAAUGAGUUUUAGAGUUCUUAUUGAAAAUAAAAAUGUGAUGUUAUAAACAAUAAACAAAUCUAAGUACUAAUGUUUUCUUUUUCUUUUUCCUUUUUCUCAUUUUGGUAUAAAAAUAGUUCGUAAAGAAUAAGUAAUGUUAUACAAUAUCAAUGGAAAAUUCAAUCAUAUAACAACUUAGGGACUUAUCAUGAAUGAUCACGAUACAUCAAUAUGAUUCAUGAUUAGUUAUAACACAAAAGUAAUCUAUUUUUCUCUAAUUUCAUCAAAUUCUACUUGAGAAUAUGUUUUAUUUGUCAUCAAACUGAAAUCAAAUGAGAAUAACAUUAAUAUCACAAUAAUUGAAAGUAUGAAAUUAUGUAC